UUUGCUAUUCGUUUGUCAGCACAAUACUAGCAAAAAGGAAGACGCUUUGAGAGUCAUAGAAAAUGGCAGACAAAGUCGACGUCAACACACCACUGAAUGCAAAAAUAGCAGAGGAAUUAUACUUUAAAGCACAAUUUGAAAAUGGGAGUGAAGAACCACAUGUCGCCAUAUCAUGCGGCUCGGGUGACGACGUGAGUUUCACGGGGCUGGGCAAGGAGGAGUUGAUGAAAUAUGCCGACGACCCUUUCUGGAAAAAAGUGAGGCUGAUCCUUCUGAUCGUGUUCUGGAUAGGAUGGACUAUUAUGUUGGUGGCUGCUAUUUUCAUUAUCGUCCUGGCACCAAAAUGUCCCUACCGACCCGACCUAAAAUGGUACGACAAGAGCAUUGUUUAUGAGAUCUUCCCCAAAUCUUUCCAAGACUCUAACCCCAAAGCUAAAAAGGCAGACACCAAGACAGGAGAUGGAGUGGGAGACAUUAGAGGAAUUCAAGAUCGGUUGAAGUAUCUGAUGGAUGUUGCUAAAAGCAAGAUUCUUUACAUUAAUUCCGUGUAUGAAAGUAAAGACGAGGACCGUCUGGCCAUCACCAAUCACGUGAGAAUAGACCCACUGUUUGGAACUAUGGAAGACUUUGACAUGCUACGGAAAGUCACUAAAAAAUUGGAAAUGCGUUUGAUAAUGGAUUUCAUUCCUAACCACACUGGAAAGUUGAACGAGUGGUUCAAGAAGAGUCAGAUGAAAGAAGGAAAAUACACCGACUACUACAUCUGGGCAACUUGUGAACCAACUGAUAAUACAUACCCAAACAACUGGAUGAGUGUCAAAGGAGGACGAGCGUGGACGUAUGACGACACCAGAAAGGCGUGCUACUUCCAUCAGUUGGAGAGCGACAAGCCAGAUCUAAACCUGAGGAGCGCUGACGUCAGACAGGAACUUGAGGUGUGUAUGAAUAACUACAUGUAUAUCAUUUGGAAAAUCUGAAACAAGAUUUGCAUCAAAAACAUUAUAAAUAGAAGUUUGUUCUUUCUAUUUUAGAGCAUCUUGCGUUUCUGGUUGGGCCGAGGAGUGGAUGGUUUCCAUGUCCAGAAUGCUCAGUAUCUGUACGAGGACGAAAAUCUGGGGGAUGAAACACUGAUUACUGGAAAAACAGGCGAUAAUUACACUGAUUUUGAGCACAACCAGACCAUGAACCAUCCAGAAAAUUUGAAGAUUCUGCAAGGCUGGAAGAAUGUGCUGGAAUCGUACAAUACAAAGCCAGGCAGAGAAAAGGCUCUUAUUGUGACGGCUAAAGAUGAUCUGAACACAACCAUGAAGUACUUUGAUGCCGGAGUCACCAUUGUACGAGUCACCCCAUUGUCUGACAGUAAUGCUUCAUUUGCUGAGAGUAAUGUUUCAUUGGCUGAGAGUAAUGCUUCACUGGCCGUGAGUAAUGCUUCACUGGCUGAGAGUAAUGCUUCACUGGCUGAGAAUGUUUCACUGGCUGAACGCAUGGAGACCAAACUGAAAGAGUUAAUAUCCUUCAACAGAAUCGGAUUGAUGUAUAGUGAUAAAGAUUCGAGCCGUUUGGCCAGCCGAGUCGACGUCAAUCCAGAACAAAUUAAAGCUUUGUUGACCCUACAAGCCACUCUGCCUGGAGUUCCGUUUAACUACUACGGGAAUGAGAUCGGAAUGCCUGACCACCCAACACUGUCUGCACCUAACAAGUACAGGACACCAAUGCAGUGGAACUUUAAAGGAACAGAGUUCUCUAAGAACACCCCAUGGUUGGAGCGUAAUGCUAAUUAUAGAGAGGUUAAUGUGGAGACUGAAAAGGGCCAUCAAAAUGAUUACUCUACAUUGAUGGUGUACAAAAGACUUCAGGAGCUGAGAGAGAAUGAGUCCUUCCAGUGGGGAACGAUGAGUGUGUACAGAGAUGGAGACCUCCUGAUGUACACCAGAAAGGCCGAUGGAUUCCCGGGAUACCUGGUGGCCAUUAACCUCGGAACCAGUAAGGUGACCGAAUCUUUCCAUGCAGCCACCGGAAUUCCCAAGGAAGUGAAGGUGGUCUUCCAUACUCACAAGGACGACAACAGCGCCAUCAGUUUGUCGGAUACUUCCUAUAUACUGGAUCCAAGUCAUGCAGUUGUUUUCAAAUAUAAUAGUGAAUAAUUGUUUGUGUAUGAUAUACAUGUAGAUUUGAAGUUUACAUGUAUGUAAAUAUUAAGUACCUUUCAAUAUUGAUACCUUAAUCUUAAUGUCACAAACUGAGACAUGAAAUUUCAUUUCUUAUACUGGCUUGUUUAUGCCAAAAACUGACCAAUAAUGUUGUUUAAAAAUAAAAAGAACAAU
rnacentral:misc_RNA from 1 species